GGGGACCUCGGGGCGCAGCAGUGGGGGAUAUUGCACAAUGGGGGAAACCCUGAUGCAGCGACGCCGCGUGGGUGAAGAAGCGCCUCGGCGCGUAAAGCCCUGUCAGCAGGGAAGAAAAUGACGGUACCUGAAGAAGAAGCCCCGGCUAACUACGUGCCAGCAGCCGCGGUAAUACGUAGGGGGCAAGCGUUGUCCGGAUUUACUGGGUGUAAAGGGCGUGCAGCCGGGAAGACAAGUCAGAUGUGAAAUCCCGCGGCUCAACCGCGGAACUGCAUUUGAAACUGUUUUUCUUGAGUACAGGAGAG
rnacentral:rRNA from 1 species